rnacentral:rRNA from 1 species
UACGUAGGGGGCAAGCGUUGUCCGGAAUCAUUGGGCGUAAAGCGCGUGUAGGCGGCUUGGUAAGUCCGCUCUGAAAGCCCGGGGCUCAACCCCGGGAGGCGGGUGGAUACUGUCAAGCUCGAGUCCGGAAGAGGCGAGUGGAAUUCCUGGUGUAGCGGUGAAAUGCGCAGAUAUCAGGAGGAACACCAAUGGCGAAGGCGAGUCCCUGGACAACACCUGACACUGAGGCACGAAAGCUAGGGGAGCAAACAGG